GUUUUCCUACGGGGCGCAGCAGUCGGGAAUAUUGCGCAAUGGAGGAAACUCUGACGCAGUGACGCCGCGUAUAGGAAGAAGGUUUUCGGAUUGUAAACUAUUGUCGUGAGGGAAGAAAUUGACAGUACCUCAGGAGGAAGCUCCGGCUAACUAUGUGCCAGCAGCCGCGGUAAUACAUAGGGAGCAAGCGUUAUCCGGAUUUAUUGGGUGUAAAGGGCGUGUAGGCGGGAAAGCAAGUCAGAUGUGAAAACCAUGGGCUCAACCUGUGGCCUGCAUUUGAAACUGUUUUUCUUGAGUACUGGAGA
rnacentral:rRNA from 1 species